UACGGAGGGUGCGAGCGUUGUCCGGAAUCAUUGGGCGUAAAGGGCGCGUAGGUGGCCCGGUCAGUUCGUGGUGAAAGCCGCGGGGCUCAACCCUGCGUCGGCCAUGAAUACGUGCCGCGGCUGGAGCACUGUAGAGGCAGGCGGAAUUCCGGGUGUAGCGGUGGAAUGCGUAGAGAUCCGGAAGAACACCGGUGGCGAAGGCGGCCUGCUGG
rnacentral:rRNA from 1 species